UAUUGCUUCCCUAUAUGCAGAAUUUCUCUCAAGAUAUUCAGCAACUUGAAGAGUACUGCAACUAUAAGAAGACCAAUGCUUUACUGAGCAACAUAUUUCAGACCUCUACCAUAUCAGAAUAUGACCUCGGAGGAGAAGGGGAUCUAUUCAAAGCACCAGAACCAAUAAUUGAAGAGCCACUUGUGGGCCUUGAUCCCAUGACAGCAGCC
rnacentral:misc_RNA from 1 species